CGCGCAGGGUCUUCUGAAAACCAGCCCCGUUAAACCCGUCUCGUCAAGCUGGCCAAGCAAAGCAUAAUACAUCUAACUAAAGAGUGGCGUUGUGCAUUGCACUGAAUUAGCAACUCCACUUGGUAUUAAGUGGUGUAGAAGCCUAUGAGGUGACAGUGUGCACCGAUGUAACUCAAACGGUAAUUCCCUCCCUCCCCACACAUAAAUGGAGUGGGGACAACAAGGACCAGGUAAGCAUGUUUUAUUAAAAAGAAACCAAGAAUGAAAAUAAUCUAUCAUCUCAUUAAGUUAAGUGAUAUACACAAUUCUCAGUUCUGCAUUGCUGAUGGUAGAGUUGGUCACUGCUCAAGUUCCGGAACGGGUAUUUGUGCAGAGGCUCCAGCACAUAGUAAUUGCAAGUCUCUAGCCUAAAAGGCCUCAUCCUACUUCCACUGAAGUCAAUGGGGGGGGGGGGGUUGCAAUUGACUUUAAUGGGAGCAGAUUUGAACUACAGAUGUAGGUGGUAGUCAACACUUCUCUCCCAGGGACAUACACUACAGUUGCUUGUCAGCACAGAGUGCACCAGUCUCAGUUAUUUCAGUUUCAGGAUACAAUGUAAUGUGUAAUAAUACCACCCUAACCAGCUAAAAUGAAAAUAUAAAGAGCUUGCAUUUAAGCUUCUUGAUGACUGCAGGUACAGCCACAUGAACAAUAUUUAUUCUCAAACCAGCAAAACAACAAAUAAUAAAUCAGAAGACCCAAAUUUCUAAAUUAAUUUAUACUUCCUUUCAUUAGAGGAUGUCAAAUGUACAAAUAUUAGCCUCCACAAUGCAGUCCUUAUGCAAGCAAAAUUCUAACUGAAGCCAAUAGAAGUUUUGCUUAUAUAGAGGCUGUAAAAAAGGACUUUUAAGUUGUUAGUUAUCACAACACUGAUGUAAAGAAGGGAAUAAGUAUUAACCCCAUUUUUUAAAGGAAAACAUUGAGGCAUAGAAGCUGUGUGGCCUGCCCAGAAUCAUAUGAUGUUAAAGAUUUGUUUACACUUGGAAAAUGAACAGUUGCUGACAGUAGUUAUCAACACUGCCUUCUCCCCUUAAAAUGGUGUUGAACAGUAUGUAGCUGUUAGUCCAGAUAGACAACAAAAAGUGUUGCCAACUCACAAUUUUAAUCACAAGUCAUGACAUUUGAUUUUUUUUUAAAGCCACAACUCCUGGAAUCACAUAAUCACACAACGAUCUCAGCUUUCAUUUGUCUAAGUUUCUAGCCCUCAUAGCUGUAAGGAACAACUUGAAAACAUGAUCUCUGUAGGCUCAAAACCCAAAAGGCAACCCCCCCUCCCAAUUUAUUAUUUUUAAAAUGUAAACCAACCUGUUUUUAUUGGGGUGAGGGAAGAGGAGGCAGGCUGACUCAUUAGUGAACACUUGGGUUUGGCAGUGCCAAAAACAUUGUCAACAUCAGUAUGGGAAGUGAUCUGGAGCUAUGGUGCAACAGGCAUCUUUCAUGCUUUUGUGACAGUGUUGUAAAGCCAUGUUGGUCCCAGGAUAUUAGAGACAAGGUGGUGAGGUAAUAUCUUUUAUUGGACCAACCUCUGUUCUUACAAGAGACAAGUUUUCAAGCUACACAGACCUCUUCCUGAGGUCAGGUAAACAGUUUGUUUCCGCUACUAGUAGUUAGUUUUCAAAGCUGGUUGAAGGGAAAGUGAGCUCAUUCUCAACAAAGUAAGUGACCUAUUGCUCAAAAUGGUUGCCAGCAACACAUGAGAUGUUUGGGUCAUUUUUCUUGUGCAGUUGGCCCCUUAUUUUGUUGAGACUGUCAUAUUGAGGCAGCUCAGAGCAAGCACAGUAUCUCUAAAAUAUACUUUACCCAAAGAAAGAGGAGAAGUAGAAAGAUAAAUGAGAAUAGAAAGUAGAAUAAACCCUUUUCUUUUUAAUAGAAAGAUCCCCCAUUUUCAUAUAACUAGUUUCUGAGGCAUAUUUAACAUUUAUAAAGUGCUUGGGUAAUUUUGGGUGCAAAAUAGUAUUGUGCGUGUAAGUAUAUUCAUAGGUGUAAUUCAGUAAGAUCAAUUCAAUGGCUCUUGGGCAAAGAAGAUAGGCAUAAUAACCUAGUGAGCCAACUUACUGCAUGCAUCCAUAGCAAUAAAAUGAUCCAAGGCUGGUUUCAGAAGGGGCGAAUGGAAAAAAAAAGUUUAGAGAAAGAGUCAGACAAAAGAAGAGCGAAAGAGAACAGCCUGGAAAGCCCGGUUGCUAGAGUCCCGUAAGGGUUGCUAAACGUGUCGUCACACCGGCCUGGCCAGGGGGUGUAGCCUGCAGGGGAUACUAUCCAGGAACAGCUGCUCCCAUCACAGCUUCCACUUUCGUCGCCCGCCCGCUCCGCUUCUGCAGCUGGGCUGACGCCACGCAUCGAUUCUUCGGCGCUCUGCUCCGCCCGCUCGCCGCGUGCGGUACCUAUUCCCUUCCGGGUGCGGGCGGGCCCUGCAGGAGGGCAGGCGCGUCGCUCGUGGUCGAGUCACCUUGCAGCGCGGCGGCAGGUUCCUCCCGUGGAAGGGCGAUGGCCGGGCUGGUCAACCUGGAGGAUGAGGAGGAGGUGAAGGGCUACCUGGAGAACCUGGGCAUCGAGUACAGCUACCAGUGCUACAAGGAGGGUGACCCGGACGGUUGCCAUCGAUUGGCUGAUUAUUUGGAGGGGGUGAAGAAGGACUUUGAAGGAGCUGCCAAGGUGCUAAAAGAAAACUGUGAAAAGAAUGAGAACAGUGAGAGUUGCUAUAAACUUGGAGCUUAUUAUGCAACUGGGAAAGGUAGACUCAGCCAAGAUUUGAAAGCUGCCUACAACUGCUUUCUGAAGUCUUGCGAAAAAGGUGGGAAGAAAUCAAUAAAUGCUUGCCACAAUGUUGGACUUUUAGCACACGAUGGGCAAAUAAAUGAUCACAAACCUGACCCAGUCCGUGCCAGGGACUACUACACUAAAGCAUGUGAUGGCAGUUUUGCCCCUAGUUGCUUCAAUCUUAGUUCAAUAUAUCUUCAAGGAGCACCUGGGAUACCAAAGGACAUGAACCUGGCUUUGAAGUACUCUUUGAAAGCAUGUGACCUGGGUCAUGUGUGGGCAUGUGCCAAUGCCAGUCGAAUGUACAAACUCGGAGAUGGAAUUGAUAAGAAUGAUGCCAAGGCAGAGGCUCUGAAAAACAGGGCGAGAGAUCUACAUAAAGAACAACAGGAAGCUUCUAGAGCCUUAACGUUUGGGGAGUAAAUCCAAUUAAAUCAUUCACUGACUUCUAGGACUGCGCUUUUAAAUGAUGCAAAAACUUUAGCUGCAAACAAAAAACCCACACCUGUUGCACUCACAAAAGAGGAAUCUGUAUGUAUGUGUUUGCAUGUGCAAAUUUUUGGAUGUGCAACUGAUGCAUGUACAACUUUGGUGUACCAUUAUCUGAAAACUUGGCCCUUUCAUACAGAAGUUUUUCAGGCGAACAAAUGUUUAGGGCCAAAUUUUCAAAGGCUCAGAGGACCCAGCUUUUAAAAUUGAAGGUGUAGUUCCAUGUGCUGACUUGUGGCUGCGAUCUUCCACAUCCACAUACAAUCAUAUGUGCAUAAUUACUCAAACCUGACUAUGCAAAAUUGUGUCUAAUUUUAGAGACUACUUUAGAUAUUAUUACUGGGACCCUAAGGAUGCUCUAUAGAAGAAUUUAUGUACUCUUUGAGCACUCUUCUUUUCCAAAGACAAGCACUCACACUGAAAACCUCAACUUGAAUCAUCACAGGACAUGCUCCUUCCAUUGAUGCUGAAAUACACUGAUCACUGAAGCUUGAUGUGCCUCAACUGUCAAAAGGCUCUGCAGCAAGAGGAAGACCUGUGAAUGUACAACCAUUGGCUUCCUGAAGUUAUAGAACUGAAGUUCUGAUCAGUCUCUAAAGAACAGAGCUGCUUGAACAAAACUAUGAAGAAAAAACUAAUUAAAACUACAGUAAGGGAGUCAUCCAAAUUUUGAAAAUCAAAGUAAUUCCAGUAUUUGUCACACAAGGAAAUAACUUCAAUUUGUUUCACAGUGGGUUGUAGCACUUUGCUCACCAUGGUUUUACAGAAACCAGUUAAUUACAGACAAACUUGAGGAAAAGCAUUUGGUGUGAACUUCAACUCAUAUGGAAUUAGCAGCUCUGCGGUUAUGAAAUCAUAAGCGUAAUUAUCUCUAAAUGGACUCCUAUUCUGAAGUUGUUUCCAUUUACUUACAGACCAGUCAUUAUGUUACAAUAUGCUCUCUUUUUUUUUUAAACUGGUAGUUAAGCACGGUCAUUGGGAAACCUAGAAAAGGACAUGAAUGUAUUCUUAUAUUAAACAGAGAGACUGCUCUUACACUGGUGUAAAUCACUGGAGUUCCAUUAGUGCAGAAGCAGCAUGAGAUUAGAAUCUUGCCCAUACAUUCUAUACUAAUACUCUUUACCUCUCAGAUCUAAAGGCCAAGAUUUUCAAAAGUGACUAGAUAUACGGAGUGCCUCAAUAUUUGGGCACCCAAUUUGAGACCUCCCCCUCUUAAAGGGAUUUGAUUUUCAGAAGUUGGUGCUCAGCAUUUUCUGAAGACCCCUUUAAGACCCUUUUAAGGUCUCAUACUGGGCACUCAAACUGAGGGACACAAAAUCAUUAGUCAUUUUUGAAAAUUGUGGCCAAAGUGUUUUCUUUAGUGCAUCAGA